AGUCUCAGUUCGGAUCGGAGUCUGCAACCCGACUCCGUGAAGCUGGAUUCGCUAGUAAUCGCGCAUCAGCCAUGGCGCGGUGAAUACGUUCCCGGGCCUUGUACACACCGCCCGUCAAGCCAUGGGAGCCGGGAGUGCCUGAAGUCCGUGACCGCGAGGAGCGGCCUAGGGUAAGACCGGUGACUGGGGCUAAGUCGUAACAAGGUAGC
rnacentral:rRNA from 1 species